CAAAUCCACCUUGUGAGAUCCUUUGAUAGUUUUUUCCUUUAAAAAUUAAUUCACCAUUAUCAUUUCAUGAAGCAACUUCACC